GGAACUGAACUUUUAGUUUCAUUGUGACAUGGUGAAUGAAUUUAUUGAGCCCCAGAAAGAAGGAAUAUUAAAGAAGAGCAAAGAAUAAUAGCUGGACAGAAGAUGGGGGUCAUUGAACCUGUAUCCUAGUUGCCAGACCUGUAAAGUGACCACGGGACCUGUAGGAGGCAGCAGAUGACUGAAAACCUGAAGUGAUGUGGCUGAGUACUGCAUGAUCUGAAGACUCUGCACUGGUGACUGCGGUAUGGGUCCAAAUUUUUCCUUAAAAAAAAACCAAAAACUAAAGAGCCCAAAACCAUACUGACCAGUCCAGGAACAGCCAUUAGGCAAACACAACUUUUUGCUACCCUGGUGUUACCGAUUUCUGAGCUCAACAGGUGAAUUCAAAGAUAUGCCUGUUUUUCCAGCAUGGGGAGCUGGAUUUGGGUCAGCUCAGGGGCAUGAUGUUGAACAGCUCUUAUGAGCUUCUGAUAAUGCCCAGGAAGUACAGAAACAACUGUCUACAAAUCUUUGAACUCAAGGCAUAUCACAGGGACAUUUGCUUUCUUCAACUAGAUACCUGUUUUCUCAUAAAGAGAAACAAUGAGAAAUGAUUUUUCACAAUGCCUCCUUAGCCCUGAGGCUCACCCAUCCCCUAGUGCUGUGUCCCAACAUUUAAAGGCCAUUGAAGUCCCACUCUAUGCCAUAUACUCUGGACAGGUUUUCUCAUUUACCCCUCAGGACAGCACUGUAAGGAUGGUAUGGUCAAUCCCAUUUCAUAGAUGGCCAAACUCAGGCUUUCAGAGCCUAAGUUUCUCCAGAUAGGUGGUAGGAUUGGAAUGAGGUUCCAUCCCUCAUCAUCCAUAGACAGCCCUGAGUAGCCUCCCUUUUAGAAGAUGGGCUUCCAGGGCUUGAGAAAUGGUCAGAUUCCACCCCUCUGCUAUUGUGGACCAAGGCAUCCUCACUCCACAACCCCUCUGGGUGAUGAAGAAGAUAGAGAAGAUUAAAUCCCGCCAUUUAUGCCAGGAGACCUGGGUGUAGGGCCACACGAGUUGGUUGCUCCUCGAAGUAGUGAGUGGGCUCAGGCAGAAGCUCAAGUAUUGGCCUUGGGACAGGGAAGCUUGAGAGAAGGAAAUUAACAUACACUAAACUACUGUAAGCAAAUGCACUUUAUAUUUCAUCUCCUUUAAUCUUAACUGCUAUUCAAGGUACCUAUCACUUUGACCAUUAUUCAUAUUAUGGUACUUUGGGAAAGUUUAUGUAAAUCGGGGAGAAAACUCUUUUCUCUCCAGAUCAGCAGCUAACUCUAGAAUUACUUAAAGUAUUUUUCCAUUUUUGUCUUGAUAUCUCCAGGACUCUCAAUGCUCGUAUUUUUCUCAAGGCCGACAGUACACACGCCCUAAGGUGUUCUUCACCAGUAUUUCUUUUUAAAUUACAAUCUGUGUAUAUCUUAUUCAUAUUAUUGAAGUUGAAAACACGUUCUAAAUGAAAAUAACACUAAGAAUUUCUAUAAAAUAAUGGGGAAACAUUUUCAAACUACAUCUCAGAUGUUAGAUUAGCAUCCACAAUUUAUAGGGCAAGCUCAGUAACAAAGCAGUUGGCAACUAAUUUUGACAUACAAUUCCAAUAGAUAUAGACAUGAACAAUGAACUUGUUGAUUAUGUUAAAACUGUAAGAACUAAUAAGAUGCUAAUAUAAAUCCUCAGAAGAAUAUUAAAUGGAAAAGACAGGUUGCAAAAGGAGAUGAUUAAUGUGAUCACACUUUUUGGCAAAGAUUAUAUGCAUGUGUAGGUGGACAUGGUCAUGUGCACCGCAUCCACAGAAACAUGUCUGGAAUGUGUGCACCAUUCUAUGGACAACAGACAUUUUGGGUCAGGAGGUAGGAGUUGAGCUAGUGAGAGGUGAAGAUUAAUUACAAUUCAUAAAUGUGCUUUUGUAUAUUUGAAAUUUGGUAUUCAGGAAUAAAAGUAUUUUGAUGAA